GCCACGUCCUGCUCAGAAAGGUACUGGUCACUUGCACUAUAUGUAACCAAGGCCUUUCUGAGUACAGUAGGGCU
rfam:Fukomys damarensis contig112741, whole genome shotgun sequence.